rnacentral:misc_RNA from 1 species
GAUGAAGAACGUAGCGAAAUGCGAUAGGUAGUGUGAAUUGCAGAUGUAACGUGAAUCAUCGAAUCUUUGAACGCAAAUUGCACUCUCUGGUAUUCCGGGGAGUAUGCCUGUUUGAGGGUCGCCAAAUCAACAUCGAAAUUCAUUUGCUUUUUGCAAAUGUUUAUCGGAUUUGAGCCGUCUUUUUAUUUUUUUUUUAAAGUUGCUUAAAAUGUAUUUUUUUGGUAUCGAAAUACGUUAUUUUACGAUCCAAUCGAUCAAAAAACAAACGUUUCGAAUGCCGUCUUUUAAUGUAAUACGUUUGACUGUGUAUACAAUCAUGGUUUCAUUCGUAUACGAGUUUUUAAUUUUUGACCUCAAAUCAGGUAAGAACACCCGCUGAACUUAAGCAUAUCAAUAAGCGGAGGA